UACGUAGGGGGCAAGCGUUGUCCGGAAUCAUUGGGCGUAAAGCGAGCGUAGGCGGCCCGAUAAGUCUGCUGUAAAAGUCAACGGCUCAACCGUUGAAAGCCGGUGGAUACUGUCGGGCUAGAGUUCGGAAGAGGCAAGUGGAAUUCCUGGUGUAGCGGUGGAAUGCGCAGAUAUCAGGAAGAACACCCGUGGCGAAGGCGGUUCUCUGGGACGGUACUGACGCUGAGACGCGAAAGCGUGGGGGAGCGAACAGG
rnacentral:rRNA from 1 species